rnacentral:rRNA from 1 species
ACCUGUGAAGAUGCAGGUUACCCGCGACAGGACGGAAAGACCCCAUGGAGCUUUACUGUAGCUUGAUAUUGGGUGUUGACACAGCUUGUACAGGAUAGGUCGGAGCCGUAGAACUCGGAACGCUAGUUUCGAGUGAGGCGCUGGUGGGAUACGACCCUCGCUGUGUGAACACUCUAACCCGCACCACUUAUCGUGGUGGGAGACAGUGUCAGGUAGGCAGUUUGACUGGGGCGGUCGCCUCCUAAAAAGUAACGGAGGCGCCCAAAGGUUCUCUCAGAAUGGUUGGAAAUCAUUCGUCGAGUGUAAAGGCAGAAGA